rnacentral:lncRNA from 1 species
GCACAUUUCAACAAAACAAAAUGGCAAAAUACUGUGCUCCUGAUGACAUUCUUGUGUGAUCUGCUCCUCCAGCACUGCUAAUUUAUCUGCCUGAGGAAAAAGAACAAUGCAUUCCUCACUGAUAUAGUAAGUCACAGUGUUUCAUGUCUUUUGCCCACAGAAUUCAACUUUAAGAAGCGGAUAAAUAAGCAACUUAGCAUAUGUGACCUCCUGACCAUGCAAUGUUAAAUUCCAAGAAUUGUAUUACUCCACCACUUUUAUUUGUCUGUGGGAAACCACUUGAUUUAUGCCUGAUCUCAGAAUAUAAUAAAAAUGUGCAGUACCUGUCAAGUUGCAGAUGGUUAGUGCCUGGGAGUGAGAAAAUAAAUGGAUGAAUGAGAGGGUUUUCCCUGAAUGCAUCCACAGUUUAUUCCAGACAGACUUUGCUCAGCGCUCCCCUGUGAAUCAGAACAAGAUCUAAGUCAAAGUUUGGACCACAUAAGACAACUUGGUAAGU